CGAGGAGAAUUUCCGAGAGUAAGUUUAUGGUUGUUUUACGUGCUUAUAAGAUAGUGCAUAACAUGUUAUCUCAUUCUAUUUUUGGUGGUUAGCUUCAUGCGGAUGCCGCCACGAACGUUCGAUACUGUGCUCGAACUGCUGCGCCCCGCAAUAUCCAAGCAGGACACAAACCACCGGCCUACAAUUUCGGCGCACGACUGCCUGGCCAUGACCAUUAGGUAUGCCAAGGAAGUGCGAGAUAAAUUGGCGCACUACUUCGUCACAGACGGUCAGGUGCCUUGGCAGGACAAAGUGGUGAACAGCACUUGAGGCGUACAAGGUGAAGGUGUCGACACGAGUCUCCUCAGCCGUAUCAGGGGUACGUUCCGGUUCCGCUGCAUGUCUUGGCCGAGGCGGUGAUCUGCAGUGAUGAAAAUUUCUUUCUAUGUAUUUGAUGAUGCCGUUAGUACAUGAAAAGUUUUAGGCAUUCUUUGGGAGUUAAAAUGCCAUUAUGAUUUCGCUCAACACGAGGUUUAUUUUACACUUGCGUUACCUCUUGAUUGAGCACUGCUGUAUGGAAGGUGUGCAUACAGAAGUUUAUUGUGCCUAUUAUGUUAAUAAAAUGCUAUGUAGGCUGCACAUCUAAAUGAGAACAAGAAAUAUUGUCACGGAGAUGAAGUAAAAGUAAUUGCAGCCUGUCGCUGAUGAAUACUUUGCUUUUUCAGAAAUAUUUGACGUUGUAAAAUAACCACAUUCACACAGAAACAAUGCCUGUGCCCUCAUGUAUUUCGG